GACGUAGGGGGCGAGCGUUGUCCGGAUUUAUUGGGCGUAAAGGGCGCGUAGGCGGCCUGUUAAGUCGAACGUGAAAUCCCCGGGCUCAACCCGGGAACUGCGUCCGAUACUGGCAGGCUUGAAUUCGGGAGAGGGAUGCGGAAUUCCAGGUGUAGCGGUGAAAUGCGUAGAUAUCUGGAGGAACACCGGUGGCGAAGGCGGCAUCCUGGACCGGUAUUGACGCUGAUGCGCGAAAGCCAGGGGAGCAAACGGG
rnacentral:rRNA from 1 species